ACUUGGCUUCUUUCCUUCUUCCUUCUCACAACCGCAAGAUCCUCCUCCUUGCCACCGCCGGUCCUCAUCUCCGCCGAUGCCACCGCCGCCAGAUCCCGUCACAUAUUGUUCUUCAUGCUCUACUCUGUGAUUUGGAAGCAACCCGGCAUAUUUUCAUCUUCAGUUUGAGAGUGUUUGUGUUGCAAGGCUUAUUAGAGUGUUUGUGAGGGAAGCAAGAGCUCACAAAACCAUUGCUCCUUUGGCUGGUUCACGAGGGAAAAGCAUUGAAGAUCAACGCCAGCCGGAUUUCUCAAUUAGCAAACCUUGAUAAAGUUUGCAUUCUUGGUUGUAGCAUUUCAUCAGGUCUUGGUGCUGUUUUGAAUGUAGCAAAACCAGCAAAGGGAUCAUCAAUUGCUGUUUUCGGCCUUGGAGCUGUAGGACUUGCGGCGGCCGAAGGGGCGAGGAUCUCAGGGGCUUUGAGAAUUAUCAGUGUUGAUGUGAACUCGAGAAAAUUUGAUCAAGGUACUGAGAGAAGAUUGCAAGCAAUAUCAAAUUCUGAAGAAUUAUUGAAGUUGCGAAAUGGAUAGAGACCGUUCUUGGAUGUAUUCGAGACUCCAUGAUGGGUUCAUUAAGCCUAACUAUUUCAAUGGAGCUGAGGGUUUUAUUUCUUUUGCAUUUUCUCAACAUGAUUUCGUCCGUGGGAAUAAAAUUAGAUGUCCUUGUGUUGGUUGUCAAAAUAAUAAAUGGCAAAUUUCUGACAAUGUCUGCAAGUACCUUUUUCUUAAAGGCUUCAGUUAUGGUUAUACUACUUGGAUUUUACAUGGAGAACAACCGACUGGAGAGUCAUCACAUAGCAGGGCUGACGAUGAGCCAAUAUGUCAAGGAAAAUAUGAAAAUUUAUAUGCGAGGAUGGUUAUGGAUGUUGCAAUGGGGAGUUUUGAUUUUGAUGCUCAUCAAGGUAAUGAACCGAGGGUAGAAUGAACCGUUGUGGUCUGGAUGUGUAAACCAUACAAAGUUAUCAGCUGUCUCUCAACUUUUAAAUUAUAAGACUGAAUUUAACAUGAGUGAGUCAAGUUUUAAUCGUCUCAUAAAAGUUGUAAAGAGCAUGUUGCCACCAGAUGAAUGUUUACCAGAAGAAUUUUAUAGAAUGAAGAAGAGACUGACAAAACUUGGACUUGGUUAUGUCCAAAUUCAUGUAUGCCCGAAAAAUAGCAUGUUGUUUUUAUAGAUAAACACUUGAGUUAGAAUAUUGCUCAAUAUGCGGACAUCCCCGAUAUAAGCCAAGUAAGUCAAGUGGCAGAAGACAAAAAAGGAUUCCUUUUAAGAUUCUGCGUUACUUUCCACUUAUACCAAGGCUUCAAAGGCUUUAUAUGUCUACCAAAAUUGCUGAACACAUGACUUGGCAUGCAUAUAACAAAAGUAAUGAUGGAGUGCUUUGACAUCCAAUUGAUGGUGAGGCUUGGCAACACUUCAAUCUCACACAUGAAUCAUUUGCUAUGGAACCUCGAAAUGUCCAGCUUGGGUUUGUGUGCUGAUGGUUUCAAUCCAUUUGGCCCAGCUUCAAAACCAUAUUCUGUAUGGCCAGUAAUGCUUAGUGUGUACAACUGACCACCAUGGAUGUGCAUGAAAAAACCGUACAUAUUCCUUGGUAUGGUCAUUCCUGGAAAUCCAAAUCAAAAUAUUGAUGUUUUUUUACGACCCCUAAUAGAUGACUUGAAACAUUUGUGGAGUGAUGGUUGUAUGACGUAUGAUGCAUAUAGGAAACAAAAUUUUACGUUACGUGCUGCAUUAGUAUGGACAAUUAAUGAUUUUCACGCCUAUGGGAUCUUGUCUGGGUGGAGCACUCAUGGAAGAUUAUCUUGUCCAUACUGCAUGGAACAUACAAAGUCUUUUAUACUAAAUCAUGGUAGGAAGCUAUGUUUUUUUAACUGUCAUCGUUGAUUCUUACCUUCAGAUCAUCCGUUCAAGAAGCAAAGAGAUAAGUUCAGCAAUGGAGUGGAGCGUGAUGCUCUGAUUCCUCGAUAUUCAGGGGAAGAAAUAUUGAUGAGAAUUAAUUCUCUUCCUAAUAUUACAUAUGGCAACAAUGUCAGUACUGAAAGUGUUCCAGGCUAUGGAGACAACCAUCAUUGGGUGAAGAAAAGUAUUUUUUGGGAGUUGACAUAUUGCCAUACCAAUCUUAUUCGCCACAAUUUGGAUGUCAUGCAUAUUGAGCGAAAUGUUUUUGAUAAUAUUUUCAACACAGUAAUGGAUGUCAAAGGAAAAACCAAGGACAACAUCAAGGCACGAAAGGAUUUGGAGUUGUAUUGUAGACGACCACAAUUGCAUUUGAUUGAAAGUAAUGGAUGGACUUUCAAACCUAAGGCAUCUUAUUGCUUGAGUAAAGAGCAAAAGAAAUGCGUAUGUGCAUGGGUGAAACAGUUGAGACUUCCUGAUGGUUUUGCAUCAAACAUAGCACAAUAUGUAAAUGAGGCCCAAAGCCAAUUAUAUGGGAUGAAAAGUCAUGAUUGUCAUGUAUUCAUGCAACGUUUUCUUCCGAUUACAUUUUGAGAUCUUCUGCCCAAUUCAAUUUGGGAUGUGAUUACUGAACUAUCUCAUUUCUUUAGAGAUAUUUGUUCAACUGAAAUCCGCAUCGAUCAUAUGAUAUUAUUGGAAGGAAAUAUCAUUGAAACAAUUUGUAAGAUGGAAAAAUUCUUUCCUCCGGGGUUUUUUGAUAGCAUGGAACAUGAACCAAUACACUACCAUAUGAGGCUAAGGUGGGUGUGCCUAUACAAUAUCGCUGGAUGUAUCCAUUUGAGAGAUUUUUGCAUCAUAUAAAGAAGAAGGUGAAAAUUUUGGCAUGUGUUGAGGGAUCCAUUUGUGAGGCAUAUGUUAUUGAAGAAAUUUCAUUAUUUUGCUCAUUAUAUUUUGAACCCAAUGUGGAAACAAACUUGAAUCAGGUUCCACGUAAUGAUGAUGGUGGUGAUACGGAACCAAUGGGACGUCUAUCAAUUUUCACACAUCCCGGACGAUUUCUCAGUGCUAAGCCAUUAUUUCAAUAUCUAAAAGAUGAUGAGUACUAUGCUGCGGAAUUAUAUGUUAUAAUGAAUUGCACGAAGGUCACCCCCUACAUUGACAUCUUUGAUGAAAUGGUUAAAGGAGAUUCUCCAAAUAUAAGAGAAGUUGAACUAGAGAAAGUGCGAAAUACAAGAUUUGCA